UACAGAGGUCUCAAGCGUUGUUCGGAAUCACUGGGCGUAAAGGGUGCGUAGGCGGCGUGGUAAGUCAGAGGUGAAAUCCCGGAGCUCAACUUCGGAAUUGCCUCCGAUACUGCCGUGCUUGAGGACUGGAGAGGAGAUUGGAAUUCACAGUGGAGCAGUGAAAUGCGUAGAUAUUGUGAGGAACACUAGUGGCGAAGGCGAAUCUCUGGACAGUUCCUGACGCUGAGGCACGAAGGCCAGGGGAGCAAACGGG
rnacentral:rRNA from 1 species